GACGAACGCUGGCGGCGUGCCUAACACAUGCAAGUCGAACGGAUUGGCCUGCUUUCCAUCGUGGUAUGCGGGUACACGAGUGGCGAACGGGGGAGUAACACGUCAGUGAUAUGCUCCCCAUUUGGGUAUAAGCACGGGUAACUGCGUCUAAUUAUAGCGCGGAAUGCCGUUUGGCGCAUGUUGUGGGAAUCGAAUUUGUUGUGGCUGCGGAUGAGCUCGCGGCCUAUCUGCUUGUUGGAGGGGGAAUGGCCUCCCAAGGCGGCGACGGGUAGCCGGACGGAGGGGGUGGACGGCGACAUUGGGACAGGGACACGGCCCAGACGGCUACGAGAGGCAGCAGUUGGGAAGAAUGCACAAUGAGCGGAAGCCUGAAGCACCGACGCCGCGUGGAGGAUGACGGCCUUCGAGAUGUAAGCUCCUUUCGACCGCGAGGAAGCCACCUGGAAGGAAGGGUGGUGACGGUAGUGGAAGAAGAAGCACCGGCUAACUACGUG
rnacentral:rRNA from 1 species